rnacentral:rRNA from 1 species
UACGUAGGGGGCAAGCGUUGUCCGGAAUCAUUGGGCGUAAAGCGCGUGUAGGCGGCUGGGUAAGUCCGCUCUGAAAGCCCGGGGCUCAACCCCGGGAGGCGGGUGGAUACUGCUCAGCUCGAGUCCGGAAGAGGAGUGUGGAAUUCCUGGUGUAGCGGUGAAAUGCGCAGAAUAUCAGGAGGAACACCGGUGGCGAAGGCGGGUCUCUGGGGCAAACAACGUGACGCUGAGGAGCGAAAGCGUGGGGGAGCGAACAGG